AUUGAUGAAUGUGCUCGAUAUACAGCAAGAUGCCAUAGGCGUGCAAAAUGCACGAACACCAAUGGGUCUUACGAUUGUGAGUGUGAUGAUGGCUUUAACGAUAUCUCUAAGAAUGGGGAAGUAGGAAUUGAAUGUCAAGAUAUCAACGAAUGUGCCAACGACAAUACAAACCCCUGUAACAGGAAAGGAUCCCAGUGUAUUAACUAUCCCAGAGGGUUUCUUUGUCUAUGUGAUGACGGCUGGACUGACAAUAACUGCAGUACAGAUAUAGAUGAAUGCUUGGAUAAAACCACUUGUGGUGUACGAGCUAAUUGUUCAAACACUGAUGGAGGCUACAACUGCACAUGUUUUCCUGGCUAUCCUAAAGGAGAUCCGAAAAUACAUUGUUACGAAAAUGCAAUUAUAGACCUGGAGACAGUUGUAACUCGCUUCAGAGGAGAAGAUCAAUUGAUAGACGCAAAACCUAUUCAUAACAGAUUUCCA
rnacentral:lncRNA from 1 species